UCCGCAGGCGGGCAAUUAAGUCAGAGGUGAAAUCCCACAGCUCAACUGUGGAACUGCCUUUGAUACUGGUUGUCUUGAGUUAUAGUGAAGUAGAUAGAAUAUGUAGUGUAGCGGUGAAAUGCAUAGAUAUUACAUAGAAUACCGAUUGCGAAGGCAGUCUACUAACUAUAUACUGACGCUGAUAGACGAAAGCGUGGGGAGCGAACAGGAUUAGAUACCCUGGUAGUCC
rnacentral:rRNA from 1 species